GAUUUACGCAAAAAACGAGCAAACGCAUGACCAGAAAACAACGAUUGCAAACCUCGAAAAAAGCUAUACCCAAGAAGCAAGUCAUGGUGACAUCUGAAUAAUCAACAAGAUAUAUUCCUCAAGAAAAAGCAGAUACAUAGACAAAUACAGUAUUACAUUUUCCCUGUGAUUCUAAAUCAUAAACAUUCCUUUAUAAAGGAAACAUUUUUUGUUGCUAUCAAAUUGAUUUAUGUGUUACUGGAAGUGUACAGCUACCAGUCAUAUUUUAUAAACUGCAUUAUAGAUUAUACUUUUGAAUAAACCAAAAUGCCUUGUCUUUUA